rnacentral:rRNA from 1 species
UACGGAGGGGGCUAGCGUUGUUCGGAAUUACUGGGCGUAAAGCGCGCGUAGGCGGCUUUGUAAGUUAGAGGUGAAAGCCCGGAGCUUAACUCCGGAACUGCCUUUAAGACUGCAUCGCUAGAAUCGUGGAGAGGUGAGUGGAAUUCCGAGUGUAGAGGUGAAAUUCGUAGAUAUCAGGAGGAACACCAGUGGCGAAGGCGGCUUUCUGGACGGUAACUGACGCUGAGACGCGAAAGCGUGGGGAGCAAACAGG